AUGUCUUCAUCCUCCGGCGCUUCCCAAACCAGCCUCAAUGGCCAAGUUACCGAGAAGCUGACGCGCACAAACUAUGUGCUAUGGCACACGCAAGUGAUUCCCCAGCUGUGUGGCGCCGGUGUCUUCGGCUACGUCGACGGCACUCAGCCGGAGCCGGCGAGACUCCUCGUCACCACCAAGGAAGGCAAGGAGGUGUCAUCGCCCAACCCUCUCCACCCAAUCUGGGUCAUGGAGGAUCAGCAGGUUCUCGGAUACCUGCUGAACAAUCUGACACGUGAGGUGCUGCUCACGGUGACCACGGUCACCACCGCGGGCGCGCUCUGGACGACGCUCGCCGACAUGUUUUCCUCACAGUCCGCCAGCCGCAUCAACAACAUCCGAACCUCCCUCAUCAACGCACAGAAGGGCAACCUCUCCGUCGCCUCCUACUUCGCCGCCAUG
rnacentral:rRNA from 1 species